rnacentral:piRNA from 1 species
UGGAAGUAAAUCCUCAUUUUAAUCUGGGUUC